GAGGCUUAGCAAAAAUGUCGCAUAAAAGUACAAAAGAAGACAUUUUUAAUAGUGGGGAUAAUAUAAAUUCUUUGAAAAAGGGAAUGUUGAACAGAUGGGUUAUAGUUAUAUUAUAUGGAUUUGUUGCUUCGUUUAGUACUUUGAUACAUGGGGGGUUUAAUGCUUGGAAACCAGUUAUAUAUAAAACAGAAGCCUUUUUAACAUCAUGUGAAGAAGCAGAUAAGAGACCCACUGAUGUUGGAGAUAAAACCUUUAUGUCAUGUCCAGUUAGAGAUAGCAGAAUUGAAAACUUACAAACAGUAGCAUUUUUUAUUCAUUUUUUUUUAUCAUUUUUUAAUGGAUAUGUAUUAGAUACAUUUGGGGAAAAGCUAUCAUUUUUAUGUGGUCAAACCAUAGUAGUCUUAGCUUUUUUAUUAUUAAUAUUUGUAAAACAUUCAUUUAUAUGGUAUGCUUUUUUUUUCUUAAUUGGUUUAUCAGCAGAUUUAUCAUUUCUUCCACUUUUAAAAGUAUCAAAAUAUUUUCCUUCACAAGAGUCUUUAAUUUUUGGUAUAUUAGGAGCGUCAAGGUCAACUGGUUUUGGAAUUGGAUUAUUAUUCCAAAUUGGAUAUUUUAAUACUUUCACUUUUGGUAAAGAUGAUUUUUAUAUUUUAUGUAUUUCUUAUUUAUUAGUAUGUAUGACGUAUUCUCUUGCAAUUGGUAUUUUUGUUGUACCAGGUAAAGAGGAACAAAUGAAUUUCGUAAAUGAUAAUGACGGUUCUUCUUCAUCUAUGAGUGAAAGAAAAAGAAAAAUAGAUAUGAUAAAUGAAAUGGACAUGUUAGAAAAUAAUAAAAUUGAUAAACAUGUUGAUGAAGAAACAAAAAGUUUGCUCAAUAAAAUAAAAUCACUAUGGGGGCAUCCACAAAAAUGGGAUUACAUAAUAACUACAAUUAUCUGCUGUUCUAGUAUGAUCAGAUUUGAAUAUUUUGGAAAAACUGCUUCAAUAUUUUUCAAAUGGGGAAUACAUGAUUUUAAUAAAGCUUUUUCGUUAUCCACUGUAUUAUCAUUUAUCCCUACCCCAUUCUUCGGUUAUUUAUCAGGAAAAAUUGGGUCCAUAUCUAGUAUAUUAAUAAAUAAUGUACUUAUUUUUUUAGCAUAUAUAUUUGUAUUAUUUAAUAAUCCUAUUUCAAAAGCAGCUGCAAUUUUUCUAAACAUUUUAUAUAUUUCUUUUGUUUUUUCCUGUUUUUACUGCUAUGUUGAUGAAUAUUUUCCGAAAAAGAAUUUUGGAGCAUUAUGUGGAGCAAUUUUUACAGUUAGCGCACCAUUUUUAUUUUUUAAUGUUUUUUUGACUUAUUUAACUAAUGAAGUUUUUGCUGAAAAUGGUAUAGGAAAUUAUGUGCCAGUGGUUUAUGGUUUGACUGUACUUGGUCUUAUCACUUUAUUACUUUGUUGCUUUUUGAAGUUUAUUGAAA
rnacentral:lncRNA from 1 species